UCCCUGAUGGCUCAGCUGGUAAAGAAUUCAGCUGCAAUGUGGGAGACCUGGGUUCGAUUCCUGGUUUGGGAA
rnacentral:tRNA from 1 species